rnacentral:rRNA from 1 species
AUUGAACGCUGGCGGCAGGCCUAACACAUGCAAGUCGAACGAGUGGCGGACGGGUGAGUAAUGUCUGGGAAACUGCCUGAUGGAGGGGGAUAACUACUGGAAACGGUAGCUAAUACCGCAUACCAUCGGAUGUGCCCAGAUGGGAUUAGCUAGUUGGUGGGGUAAAGGCUCACCUAGGCGACGAUCCCUAGCUGGUCUGAGAGGAUGACCAACCACACUGGAACUGAGACCCGGUCCAGACUCCUGCGGGAGGCAACAGUGGGGAAUAUUGCACAAAGGGCGCAAGGCUGGUACAGCCAAGGCGGGGGUAUGAAGAAGGGCUUCGGGUUGUAAAGUACCUUCAGCGGGGAAGCGUUACCCGGAGAAGAAGCACCGGCUAACUCCGGGCCAGCAGCCGCGGUAAUUC